UAUAGAGCUGUAAUAACCAACAUAACUAUGAUAAUAUCAGCUUUUUUGUUUUACUUUGAGUGUCUUGAAUAUUUCAUAAAAAUUAAUUACAAACCACUUUAUUCUAAUUGGAAAUGUGAAAAUUUAGACUUUGGGAGAAAUAAAACCCAUAAAACUGACUUAGUUUAACCCUUUGGUUUCCACUUCAUUGUUUUGACUCUGUAUUAUAAUAAAUAUUGGAAACAGAUCCUGGACAGCAGAACCAUAUAGGUUAAUAAAGGCCUGUCUGAUACCAAGGGCUAUCAUUAGGCUCUUAGUAUCUUAGCUUCUGUUUCAUUAAGUAUUAUUGUUAAGAUUAGACAUUAGUUUGGGCUUGGAUCAUUUACUUAUGUAGCCAUUUAUAAAUAUGACCUGUGUUAACUGUUACAUUGCAGGGCACCUUGUGACUUCAUAUGUAGUUAUAAUUUAAGGUAAUGUAAAAACAAUUGAUAAUAUGAAUAUAUAUUACACAGUUUAGAAAACAUCAAGGUGAUUCUCAUUGCAUUGCUUUAAAGCAAAGUUGUAGAUGCAGUUUUCUUAGCUGUUUUUUAGAUUUAAAACUUAAAUCUUUAAUUUUAAUAACAGAAGCUUUGAUUAUAAAAUACAGAGUCGUAAAAUAAUUGAUUAAAUUCCUUAAUUGUCAUUUAUUGAAAUAAUGAAUAAUUAGAAGUUGAUCUUUUCAGUGAUUUAUUUUUCUAAACAGUACUCUAAUUGGUCCUGAGCAUUUUAUUACUAAGAUGUUAGUUUUAUUCACUUUAAUGGAUAGCUUAAUCCUUUGAACCAAUAAAUAUCUUUCUUGCGCUAUGUCCUUUUUUUAAUAGGUGUCUUUUUAAAAUGAGAUCAUUUUAUUUACAAUUCUGUCCUUGUUACAGGACCCUCGAGUGUCUCUUUCCCACCAAGUGUGACUGAGCAUGGCCUCGAGUGCCAGUUUGUUUUUCCUUCUCAGUAUAAGAGCCACUCCCUCAAGACCCUGCAUAUGGUGAUUUCCCUUGACUGAACUUUCAGAUAUUUUUUAGAAGAAAUAUUUAGCCUGAGCCACCUAGCCAAAAGCAAUUUUUAAAAUUAUAUGUCUUUGGCCUGGAGAUAGAGCACAAGUAAUCAUUACUUAUUGCUAUUGUAUAUGUGGUUAUUUAGUUUUAACAUCUAGAUAAAAUGUCAGUUUUGCCAGUAAGCUAAAUUGUACAUUGCUUUUUAGUAUCUAUUCUGCACAUUUUCAUAGUUUAACACUUUUAGUCUACCAACAAAUAAUAGUUUGAUUCCCCCAAAUUGUGGUACUUAGAUAACUCUUUUAUUUGUUUCCUGUUAUGCUGCUCUUAUGGUAAAGUGUAGUCCUAGCAAAUAAAAUGCCUUUUUCUUUUAAGGUCAUCAAGGGGCACAGAAUUAAUUUACUUACUUGACGUUAACUAAUUUUGUUUCCAGUUCAAAGUGAGCCAGAUUAUUAAUUUUAAUAUUACAUGCUAUAGUGUUUAGGAGUUGGUGGAAAUUUUUCCUUUUUCUGUGACCAGAUUAAAAGCUGUCUUGUAUCAGUAUUUUAUCACACUUGGUGGUAAAUAAUAAUUUUGUUGUUAAUUCCUACUUUGCUUUUUAUAUAUUUGCUACGUAAAGUGGCCAAAAUCUGAAGUUGCUGCUUUUUUGGUCAUGGGGUAGAUGAUGGUGAGGGCAAGCGUACCAGGCAUCUGUGGCUAGACUGGUUUGUUACAUAACCUACUUGUCAAUGUAGGCUGCAUCUGUAAGAUAACGCAUGUCAGCUGCUGUGCGUCGUAGCACAUUUUCUAGCACCACACGUGAGUAUGUUGAUGGAGUUUCUUUUUCUUCUCUUAUUUUACAUCUUGAGUUUUGGUGCCAAGUUUUCUUUUUCAUGUGAGGUUUUGUUUCUCCUUAUAUGACUGUCAUUGUUAUUUGCUACUGUUUACAUCUAAAAAUAAAAACACACAGGAUUAAGUGUCAAUUCUGUGACCAGACUAAAUGUUUGUAUACUUUAAAUGAUCUAAACCUCUACAGACACUUCUCACUCUCAUUUUUUCUCAAGUAGGGAGUUUUUAUUAAGUAAGUUAAACUGUCGUCAUCCUUAACUUUGCUUAUAUGACAGUUCAGUGCUUCAUUGCAGCCAGGAUUUGAAUGCUACUUAAUACACACAAGGGUUUUUGAUUGGAAGAAGGACAUAUAGUAACAUGGAAAAGUUGUUGCCUUAUUUUUCUUUUGGAUGAUCAAAUAAGUAACAGUAUAAAAUUAAGUUUUAAUGUGAUUUCAGAGAAGGACUCUUGAAAAUUUGCUGUCUGCUGAUAAUUAAGACCACCUUUUAUGUGACCAGUGAGGAGAAGCAAGAGAGCCUGUUUGUGUUCCCACAGGCCAGCUGGGCACUGUUCUGUUCAGGUGACUUGGGGGCUCUAGUCAUGCCAGUGGAAGAUGAAUGUAACCUGCAUGGUGAUUCAAUCAAACAUUUCCUCACUGACUCCGAAAGAUUGGGCUCAAUCCUGAAUGUUUAUGUGUUGCAUUUACUUUUACAAAAGAAAAAAAAAAAAAAAUAUAUAUAUAUAUAUAUAUAUAUAUAUAAAUUUUUUUAAAAAGACCUUUUACAAACAACUUUGUAAAGUACACAUUUCUAGCCUUGAAUUAUCUUUCCUUUUAGUAUUUUGGCACUGACUGAUUUUGGUUAUUUUUGUCUUUAUUUUCUUGAGAGAUGUAGUGGAGAAUGUUUCCAUAUCAACCAGAUAUAAAAGUAGAUUUUUUUUUAAUGCCUCAGAGUAGAAAUAAAGGGAUUUAGUGGGAUUUAGAGAUUCAGAAUUGCUUGCAUCUAAGGCCAAUUUGCUAGUCCAUUUUAAUACCACAUUAUACCAGGUGCCAGUGUUAAAUUAUGUUGUGACAAAGUCCCAUAGCUUUCUGUAGGAGAGCAUUUCUGUAGAAGCCAUUGAUUCUGUGGUAACCAGAUGUUCCAGUGGGUUACAUAUAUUUUAACUUAAUUAUUUUCAUCCCAAGAGGAACUUAACUAUGAUCAUCAGAUAGCUGGAGAAGCAUCUAUAACCUUAUAUAAGCAAGUUCAGUGAUUCACUCUGAAAAAAUCUUUCUUGGCCUAAUUUAGAAAAUAGAUACAGUGGGCUUUAGUAACAGAAGUCUUAAAAUGUGAUCAUAAUAGACUUUGCAUGUUGCAGAAAAAAGGAUUUUGCUGAACUUUUAAAAAUUCUUAAUUGAAAUGAAGUUGGUUUAGUUUGGUCCAUGUUUAUGACCCACCUUUAUUGGCUUACCCUUAGAGCUCUGUCUAGAAGCAAAAUUUUCAUUAGGGCAAGUCAUGUAAUGAGCAUAUUUAAUAUUAGUGUCAGAAGUUUUGCAGCUUUUGCCCUUGGCAAACUUCAUUAGACAUUUAUUCAUGUUUGAAGUUUGUGGUUUCUUUUCAUUUGUUCACCUAUUUGACCUUCAGAAUAGUAGUCCAACCAUGAAAUUUAUUAGCAGUGUAACUCUGAAUUAGUGGUUUCUGAUCUUGGAUCCUGUGCAUUCCAGUCCUGACCUAGUGUUCCCUCCCUGACCUACUUGUCACUACAGCAGUCUUGUCUGAUCUUGCAAUUUCCUGGCUCUUUUUUCCUUUUAUUAAACUGUUGCAGGCAAGGUGGAGGAAUUACUUCCCGAGAUAGCUGAUGAAGUUCUGCCUGCUGGAAAGGAACAGAUAGAUGGCAGGCUGACAGUAUUCUAGAGUUGUUGACAAAUUCAGUUCAGAAUUUUGAUUGUUUCUCAUAACAGCUUGAAUAAUAUAUAGGUUUUGAUAUUUGUUUAAACACUGCUUUUAUAUAGUGCUUUCAAGGAGAACCAAUGAUUUCUAAAUUCACAUGUCUUUUCCUUUGCUAAAUUAUAGUGGGAACAGGUUAAAUAUUUCAUGAAACUCUUUGAAUGAUGCUGUUAUAUUUUAAUGUAUGCAAACAUAGCUGGGAUUCAGUUGCAACAUAAAACUAUCCUCAGUAAUGUUGAACUUGAAUUGAAAACUUGGCACCAAAUUUAUUCAAGUAGAAACUUUAAAAAAUAGUUUUUUCCUAUUGUUACCUGAAGAAUAUAUUUAAGAAAGUCUUCAUAAUUACGUAUUUAAGAGUUUGGAUACCAAAGGGUUAAAAAUACACGUUUUCCUUUUACUGAAGAAAUUUUAGAUGUUUGUGAUGUUUUGUCUGUACAAAUGGACAUUUAGUAAUGUUUUUUAUCUUUUUUUUUUUUUUAAUGAUUCCAUGUAUUUGCUUAUUUCCAUCUAGGAAUAGUUACUAAUGUAUUUGAGAUACAGCAUACCAAAUUUUAAAGUAACCAGAAUCGUGAGUUAAUGGUUUUUAGUCCAUACUGUUAAACUUUUGUUGAAAUAACUGACAUAAUUAAAUUGGCUUCAUGCUGAAAAUUACUAGAAGUAAUUGAAAAGGCAGUGUUUUAGAGCAAUAGCUCUUGGUCAAGGUGGUCACAUGACAAUGGCUUACGCUCAGUAAAUGUGCUUCUGCACCUCAUGUAUGUAUAUGUAUUUUUAAUCAAAAUGUUGCCUGCAAAUAUGUGAUCCCUUAUUAUUUAAGUUUCCUGUUUUAUGAACCAUUGCCCGUUUUAAAUCACACAGAAGAUUCUGAAUCUGUAAAAACUACACAUGUCAAUGUUUUACAGCUACGUAAUUCGAAUUGACUUGAUUUUUUCAAGUAAUCCUAGAAAGGGGGAGCAUUCCAUAUAGAAACUGCUGAAACUGCCACAGGUGCUUCUCCGAAAACCUUACGGUUGUGGCAUUGAAUGUUCAGUAUGGCUUCCUUUCUCCACUCGAGGCAUACUGUUGAGCCUGAGAAAUGCCAGUGGCCUGACGGCAGCAGACAUUGCUCAAACCCAGGGUUUCCAAGAGUGUACCCAGUUUCUCUUGAACCUCCAGAAUUGUCAUCUGAAUCCUUUCUAU